rnacentral:lncRNA from 1 species
AUUAUUGCAGUGAAAAAAAAAAUGAUGCAUCAACACAUCAAAGCACUCUCUUGCUGACAUCAGGGCUUUCCUGUUGCAGUCGGGUGUGCACGUCUCCAACACCACUAUAAGACGACACUAUAGACGUCAAAGACCUGUAGGCCUUCCUAGAAAAACAACUGCAAGGAAAAUGAACAGUGCUGCACUUAAAACGAUUGACGAAAAACUUAACAAGGACAAUGAGCGAUCUGCUAAAAAGAUUCAGAGCGAGCUUCUGUUUAGAAUACAGUUAAAAGCAUCAGUCUGCACUAUUAGAAAACCAUUAAAACAACUCAGGUGGACCUAUGGAAAAGCCAGGAAUUAUGG